rnacentral:rRNA from 1 species
UACGUAGGGUGCAAGCGUUGUCCGGAAUUAUUGGGCGUAAAGAGCUCGUAGGCGGUCUGUCGCGUCUGCUGUGAAAACUCAGGGCUUAACCCUGAGCUUGCAGUGGGUACGGGCAGACUAGAGUGCGGUAGGGGAGACUGGAAUUCCUGGUGUAGCGGUGAAAUGCGCAGAUAUCAGGAAGAACACCCGUGGCUAAGGCGGCUCUCUAGUACGGGUACUGGACGCUGAGACGCGAAAGCGUGGGGAGCGAACAGG